rnacentral:lncRNA from 1 species
UAGUGUCUUUACCUUGAUGGUAUUGUGAUUUAGAGUUAAAGCUUUAACCCGGUGCACGCUGGUAAGGAAGUCAACUGCCUUCACAUCAGGUGACAGAUCUCUACGUAUGACAUCGGCCAAAGAAAGCUCGGCCCUUUCUAAGGUCCCGAACUGGUGGUUGACAGUAAUCCCAUCCCACUCCAAAUUCUUAAUAUCUGAAGCAAAUAUGCUUACUGUUGUACACCACUCCGAACGCCAAUCUAUGCGUACAUCUUUAAGCUUAUGACCGAUGAUUUUCAGUCGACGAACUGUCCAACUGUUGCUCGAAAUACUAAAUGAUUUUAGUGAUGAGCUCUCAAUGGUGAUAUCACCUACCCCAUUCGCUAGAUGGAUCCUACUGAUAUCAAGGUCAAGUAUUUCAACCUUGCACCUUAAAGCAUUUUCGAUCCACGAAAUAAACCGACGUCCUACCCCCUCACAAAUGCAUGGGGUUUCAUUUCCAAAAAUAUGUUCACGGACGUCGAAUCUAAUACCAAAGUGAAGGAUUCUGCUCUUCCCACGAUGGUCUAAGAACCUAUCCACAGAAUUUGACCACUUAUCACAAGUUGAUAUAUCAACUUUGGACAAAUCCAAUCUGAAACUGGGAGUUGACAAAUGGAGCUCCCUGCAGCGUUUGGAUAAACUCCCAAAGCGAGAGAGGUCUCCAAAUUGAAGCAACGAAAGGAUUCUAUGAGUAAUGUCGUCUGGAAGACUACUCAGCCUAUCCACCCUAAACUCUAGACUAACUCUCGGAACUUUUUCACUACUCUUACUUGCCCUACAAGUCUCCAUUACAGAGAGAAUGAGAGAUUUUAGCAGAUAUAUAUACGAUAUAUUUGGCUCUCCUUUUACCUGCUCGACAAAAAGUUGAAUAUCAGAGUGCGGAACAAACAAGACUACAAAAUAAUAGGAAUUUUAUUGAACAAAUUGAGAAUGCCGAAACGGCUACAAAAACCCUAGAGACUACAUUGUGAAUGACUUGAUUUCAAACUAAAUUCCAAGCUCUAUUUAUAGAGCAAUAAACCUAAGAAACCCUAAUACACAAAUGCCAAAAAUACCCUACUACAAAAUCAAAUCAAAUCUCCAAUUAAUUUCCUAAAUAAACCUAAUAAAUUCCAACACCCCCCGUCAAACUCAUGGUGGUACACGUCAUGAGGUUGCCAACAAGCAGAUGCGGUUGCAAGACUUCAUUAUGCUAAUUUCCGAUGCCAAUUUCAAUAUGGAAUUUCACCGGUGCCAAUGCAAGAUUCCAAUGCCAGUGCCAGUGCAAGAUUUCCAUGCCAAUGCCAGUGCAAGAUUUCCAUGCCAAUUGCGAACUUUCGAACCAACUUCAUGACAAACUGAUACGCAGCGGACAAACGGAUGAACAAAUUGAUACCCAUCUAGAACAGAUUAAAUUCCGAAGAAUCAAACCUGCUCUGAUACCAAGUUGAAUAUCAGAGUGCGGAACAAACAAGACUACAAAAUAAUAGGAAUUUUAUUGAACAAAUUGAGAAUGCCGAAACGGCUACAAAAACCUUAGAGACUACAUUGUGAAUGACUUGAUUUCAAAUGAAUAACAAAGCACCCUAUUUAUAAUAAACUAACCCUAAUCUCUAACAAAACCUAAUUCUAACGUGCUAAGCCCAAAAUACCAAACAUUAAAAUAAACUAAAUAAUAAUAUUUUCCAACACCCCCGUCAAACUUAUGGCGGUACACGACAUGAGUUUGCCAACAGAAGAUGUGGAUGCAAAACUCCAAAUUCCAGUGCUAAUGUCAAUGCCAAUGCAGAUGUAGAUGCCGAUGCAAAUUCCGAUGCCGAACAAACAAAAAAAAAAAUCCAACCAAAUAUACCAUAUUUCUUUCUUUCUUCUCUUUUCUUCUGGGCGAAACCGAUUGCAGCAGACAAGGCUUGCAAAACCAAUUGCAGCAAGCUUCAAAACUUCUAGUGCAAAGUCAACCUGCAGAAGGGGACUUCAUAGGGUUGUGAUAGAUCCGACUGGUAGGAGUCGGUGCGGGUACCGUGAACAGGUGGAUGUAGGAGCGGAGAUGCGGAGAUGGUGGUGCGGGUUGUCUGGACAUAUUGCAGUGCGGUGGUGGUGACAAGAAUGGCUUCGACUACGGAUGAGCGGAAGACGACGGACGAAACUAAUACCCAGUAAACUGACAAACAAAACUGAUACAAACAAAUGGACACUAAUCAAGAACAGAUUAAAUCCCAAAGGAUCAAACCUGCUCUGAUACCAAGUUGAAUAUCAGAGUGCGGAACAAACAAGACUACAAAAUAAUAGGAAUUUUAUUGAACAAAUUGAGAAUGCCGAAACGGCUACAAAAACCCUAGAGACUACAUUGUGAAUGACUUGAUUUCAAACUAAAUUCCAAGCUCUAUUUAUAGAGCAAUAAACCUAAGAAACCCUAAUACACAAAUGCCAAAAAUACCCUACUACAAAAUCAAAUCAAAUCUCCAAUUAAUUUCCUAAAUAAACCUAAUAAAUUCCAACACAAAAUAACACAGUAUAAGGAUACCUUUGCUAGCCGGAGGAGAGACACAGAGAGAAAGAAGAGAGGGGACGAAAAGCUUACCUUUGCUUAACAGCGGCCAGAGGGUGAAGACGGUAAGCUUGUUUUGAAGGAUUUGCGAUGAGCUUUACACUUCGUUUUGCAAGAAAAAAGAUAAGAAAAUAUGCUUCGAGAGGGGUUGUCUUUCAGGAGUUAAAAAGUCAAAGGUGAAUAAAUAAUAAAUAUGCAUUAAAUAAUAUUAAAUAAUAUAAAAUAAUAUAUAUAUAUAUAUUAAAUAAUAUAAAAUAUUACUAUACAUGUAUUAAUUAAUAUAAUAUUAUAAUUCCUUAAUUAUCUUGUUUUUUAAUCCGACACUACAUUAAAUGAUUCGCUAAGUUAGUCCAGCUUAGUUUAGUUUAAACCAGUGGUGAAGCUACAAAAGGUUUGAGACGGGUGGCCGCUCAUCAUCCUCUCAUUGGAAAUCAAGCUCAGGAACAACAGUCCACCUCUCUGAUGUCAUCGAAAAACCUGCAAGGUGAAGUCAUGGCUGCUGUAGGCUGCAUAUCUUUGUAGCAGCCGCGUUUUCUUUUGUUAUAAACAAGUCCGUGAAAAUGACGAUCAUUUCGUUUGCCUUUAAAACUGUAAAAAUAAUAAAUGUUGGAUGACGUCGUUUGGGCAUAAUAAAUAACAAAAAAAUAAACACAAGGGGGGCCACUCGUCCCAAUUAACCCUCACAUAUUCACUUCCCCAAUUCCUACCCCCACUGUCGUGCCUUGUGCCUUUUUUAAAUUUAAAUAAUCAAUUCCUAAUUUAACAUAAAUGUUUGCUCAAUUGACUUUCUUUAUAAGAAUUAUAAUGUAAUAUGGGUAUUGAUUAUUGAUAUGAAUCAUAUGAUUAUUGAUAUGAAUCAUAUAAUUAUUGAUGAAUAAGUGGAUAUGUUUGUUCCCGCUUCCUCAAUUCUUCCACCAUGAUCUCACACUGACUAAUCACGCAACGCUGCAAUCCAUUCCUUCCCCGAGGAACUCUAUCCGGCAAUGGCUUUCACGGCGGUUUUGGAGUCGGAUCUUCGCGCGCUCUCCGCCGAAGCCCGCUGUCGCUACCCUGCCGUCAAGGACGGCACUGAGCACGCAAUUAUCAAGGUGUCAUUCUCCAAACUCCUGUUCUUAAUGCUUGAAUGCGUGAGAAUGUAUGUAUGCUUUGUCAUUGGUGAAAAUUCAAAUGUUUGGUUGACUCGGAGGAAAUGAAGGAAAUGACUACUGAAGUUAAUGGUAUUGUGAUUUUUGGAUGCCGAAGCUGAAAGAGUUACUGUGGAAAGUACUUACUGUUUCUCGGAAUUGAAGCUGAAACGGUAUCUGGUAUUAGCUAGUUGGGGAAGAUAAUUAUUUAGCCAGGAGUAAACUUAGGUUACAAAGUAAUGGAAUUGGACUAUUAUUAGAGGAAAGCAGCAAAGUUUGUUUUAUUAAUUUGUUGAUGUAAAACUUGCAGCUUCGUACUUUGUCGAGUCCCGGUGAGAUUGCGCAGAAUGAUAGCAUACUGAGAAUCUUUUUGAUGGUUUGUGAAGUUAAUGUUGGAUAGUGGCCAAAUUAGUGGCCAAGUAGACAACAAGUCAAAUGUCUUUCGGCUAGUAAACUAAACAAAGAAAAGUUUAGUGUACAUCAUCAUGAGUAAAGACACAAUGAUGAUGUUUGUUAAAAAGAAAAAUGAAGGUUAUGGUCCUUUACUUUGGAUUUUUUAUCGGAUGCUUUUAUAUGGAUAAAGGUUGUAGCCGAAUGUGGGAGAGAUGGGGGAGCGGCAUCAGAUGAGAGCCAUACCAAGGAAAGCGUUCGGCUCCCCCAUUUGAAACAGUGCUGCUCAUUCCCAUUUGUUUGUAAUCCCCCUUUGUUAGUUAUCCCUAAUCAAAGAUGUUGCUGCUACAUGUUGUGUAGCUUUUGGAAGAUAUGGUAUCUGAUGUUUGUCCAUCUUCUCCAAUUGUUCAGUGAGAGCUAUUGGAUGUACGUGGGAUUUGGGUUUAAGAGUUAAAACUCUAUUUGUAAUCUCCUUUUGAAUUAGUGGAAUUUCCUCGCCGUCUCGGAACGGAACGUAGGCUUACGCCGAACUAGUAUAAAUCCUUGUGUCAUUUGGAUUAUUUGUCUUAUCAUAUUUUGACGUUGUAACUUAUUGGUUUCAUAUUUGACGUUCCGCACAACAGUUAAAACUGUGAAGCUGAGUGUUAUCGGACUUUGGUGAUUAAAAAAGCUAAUAUCCCAUGGCUAGUCCCAUUACCGUCUUAAAGUUAUUAGUUUUGCUUUUUCUGACAGCAUGCCGAAAUGGCUGAUGAAAGUGUUCAACUUAAGACUCUGCAGACUGUAUUAAUCAUAUUGCAGUCACCAUUACAUCCGGAGACAGAGGUAAGAAGCAUUAAAUACAUAAUUCCAUCUUCCUAAUACGGACGAGUUUUACAUCUUAUGCUGAGGCAGUAAUUCAUAGUAUAUGCCAUAGCUGGAUUUAUAUCCUUUAACAUAGAUUGGAUAAAGGGGGACAAUAAGGAAAAUGUGAAAUGUCAUGUGCAAGCCAAGCUUUUUAAUAUACCAUGCAAUAUCUGCUAGUGUGGAAUUCUUAGAUUUCCAUACAUUGAUAAAAAAAAUGGCAUCCACCUCACUGGAGGAUGAACACACAUUUUGUUACUCAAAAUACAUACCAGCGAAAUCAUUAUGCAACAGUUAUACAGUUUCAGACAAACCAGUGAAAAAAGUAGGGUUUUAUAAUCUUAUAUAUAAUCAUUUCAUCAAAUUUCUCCUUGAGUACUUACUACUACUUGCUAAUGUGUCAGUGGGUGUUGGUCUAUGUGAUUGCUCAAAAAAGUUUGUCUUUUGAACUUUUCUACUGGAUAUGGUAAUGCCAUACCAUUUACGGGCACUGAGAGAUAUUGCUGACCAUAUUACAAGAAAGACACUUCACUUCAUCCAUUAACUCAGCUUCAUUUUCCAUUUUGUCAUUGAAUUCUUAUUAUCUUCUGGAAAACAACCGGUCCUCUGAUAGUUUGCUGUCCCUGGUCAUAUUAUGUUGUUAGCCAUUAUAGCUGGCAUUUGAAUCUGUUGGUAUGUCCUGAGAUGGAUUGAUUGGACUCCAUACGUUUUACAUGCAAAGUCAUAUUUUCAUUCCUACAGUUAUGGGCAUGUUCUAUUCCUGAAACUUGCCACUCCCAAGGGAUGCAUGCCACAUCUUGUUAGUAAUUCUUUUCCAGCGAGAUUACUCUGGAGCUUUCAGUGCUCUAUCUUGUCAGCUUGCAUCUACCCUCAACUAAAAUGUGAACGAUCUACAGAAAAAUGUGCUUUUUAUGAGAAUAAGGCACAUUUUUCUGUUUGGAGAAGUAAUUUCAUAAUGUAAUCACUUUCUAGGUUCUAUUUUUAACUGCAGAGCUAAAGGUAAUCACUUUCUAGGUUCUAUUUUUAACAAUUGAAUUGACAUUAACCAGAACGUGCAAGGAUAGCUAUGGUUUUCUUCGAAACUGAAUAUAAGUAAAUAUAAUACAUGUAAAAUCAACACAUGGAAAGUAGCCCCUAUGAACUAAAAAGUUGAAAAGAUAUCUUUUCCAGUCCUGGUUCAUCACGCAUCAUAGUACCUACUAAAUACAUUUAAACCAAACAAUGACAUACCAGCACCAUUGACAUCAGAUUCUCCAGAUGCAACAGCUUCUGCUGCCUGCCUCAAUUCCAUGGCCAAGAAUUCUGCAGAUUCCAAACGUUCAUCAUGUUGCCAUUACAAAUUCCCUAAUACACCAGAACCCUCUUUGGCACCUUGCACUUCUCUCGCAAACAUUUUUACUCUUGGUGCUAUCAUUCUUCUCAUCAGACCCAGUAAGUAACAGAGCAACCGGCUUCAUUUUCCGCUGAAGGUUUAAGAAAAGGUUUGUGGAUACCGCCAAAUGUAUCAUAACCAUUCAUUCUAUGUUCCACCUUCUCGUCAGCCCAAGUAACAGAGCGAUUAAAUUUUUUUGCCCCCGAAGGUUUAAGAGAGGAUCUCAGCAUUGGCUCAUUUGAUUUAUCAGCCUUCUCACCAUGGAAUUCCUCUCUUGCUUCUUUAGGACUUCUAUACAUAAUAGUUUGAGAAGACUCUAAAGUUGAAGACGCCUCCCGAAUGCCAACAUCAUCUUCCUUGGAAAUCUUACUUUUCCCCCCUCUUGAGUGUCUGGAUUUCUUUUCAGAAUCAUUCUUAACUGCACUUCACUCUUUUCUUGAAUCUUCAACUUAGAAAUCCCCAAUCUGCACUUUGCUCUUUUCUUGGAUCUUCAACUUGGAAAUCCAAAUCUCCCCCAAGCCCACUUCGCCUUUGUCAAAACCAUAUCCCCAAAAGCCCUCAAGACCCUCUCAACGUGCAGGCUAAGCAGGUGGGGCUUGUAAAUCUGCACCAUACUGCUUACGUCGAAAUACAGGAAACCAUAUCUGAGCGUUUGGUAGGGAAACUGGUGAUUACUUGAACCUGCGAUAGACUAUGCGAGCAUUGGAAGUCUUCUCACUUUCAUUCAACCUCUUCAGAUGCCCCUUUCCAAGGCCUAAUGGAUGAAUAAUCACCAUUUUCCUCAGGCUUUGAGCAUCCUCAAGGAUAAACCUUAUGAACUCGAUUUGGUUGGUCCCGUAGAAGUGUCGAUUAAGGUCUACGGUUACCUCCUUAAGCUGAGAGAGGAAAGGAAGGUUGCUUGACCUCCAGUAUUCCAUAGUAAGACCUGAACACUGAGAAGGAAGCAGGUAGAUCAAUUGCAAAGUUCCAAAAACAUAUCAAGAAACUAAUGAUAAUUGUCAAACCGAACAUUUUACUUACUUCAUUUAGAAUGCAACGGGGCGGCGAAGACUUCACGUCCAAGAUAGUUAAAUUAGGCAUUGCCCUAAGAAUAGGGACCAAUGCCAACACCAAUUCAAUACUAAAGUUUCCAAUUUUCAUAGAGAAAUAAAAAACGUUCUCUAAGGGCGGUAUUCCUUUCUUGAACAAAGCCUGCAGUUUAUUUAAAAAGAAGAAUUAAACAUCUCACUCUAAAUUAUGUUUCGUAUAACACUUAGCCUGAAGAGUAGUGUCUUUACCUUGAUGGUAUUGUGAUUUAGAGUUAAAGCUUUAACCCGGUGCACGCUGGUAAGGAAGUCAACUGCCUUCACAUCAGGUGAUAGAUCUCUACGUAUUAUAUCGGCCAAAGAAAGCUCAGCCCUUUCUAAGGUCCCGAGCUGGUGGUUGACAGUAAUCCCAUCCCACUCCAAAUUCUUGACAUCUGAAGCAAAUAUGCUUACUGUUGUACACCACUCCGAACGCCAAUCUAUGCGUACAUCUUCAAGCUUAUGACCGAUGAUUUUAAGUCGACGAACUGUCCAACUGUUGCUCGAAAUACUAAAUGAUUUUAGUGAUGAG